rnacentral:snoRNA from 1 species
CUGCAGAUGCAAGGAAAAAAGGUUCUCGAGCUUUCUGUCUGUCUGACUGUGGCAGCCAAGAUUGAAUGGGGGAAUACAGGA